GCCCUAAACCUCAGUAGUUAAACAACAAAACUACUCGCCAGAAUACUACAAGCAACAGCUUAAAACUCAAAGGACUUGACGGUGCUUUACAUCCCCCUAGAGGAGCCUGUUCCAUAAUCGAUAAACCCCGAUCCACCCCACCCUCUCUUGCUCAGCCUAUAUACCGCCAUCUUCAGCAAACCCUGAUAAAGGUUACAAAGUGAGCGCAAACGCCUCCCCCGCAAAAACGUUAGGUCAAGGUGUAGCCCAUGAGACGGUAAAAAAUGGGCUACAUUUUCUAUAUCAGAAAAUUCCACGAAAACUCUUAUGAAAUUUGAGAGUCCAAGGAGGAUUUAGCAGUAAAUUAAGAAUAGAGUGCUUAAUUGAACCAGGCCAUAAAGCGCGCACACACCGCCCGUCACUCCCCUCAAAUAUAUUUAAGGAAUAUCUUAACUAAACACCCCAAUAUUUAUAUAGAGGGGAUAAGUCGUAACAUGGUAAGUGUACUGGAAGGUGCACUUGGAUAAAU
rnacentral:rRNA from 1 species